rnacentral:rRNA from 1 species
GAUGAACGCUGGCGGCGUGCUUAACACAUGCAAGUCGAACGGUGAAAGAGAGCUUGCUCUCUGGAUCAGUGGCGAACGGGUGAGUAACACGUGAGCAAUCUGCCCCUGACUCUGGGAUAAGCGCUGGAAACGGCGUCUAAUACCGGAUACGAGCUGCGAAGGCAUCUUCAGCAGCUGGAAAGAACUUCGGUCAGGGAUGAGCUCGCGGCCUAUCAGCUUGUUGGUGAGGUAAUGGCUCACCAAAGCGUCGACGGGUAGCCGGCCUGAGAGGGUGACCGGCCACACUGGGACUGGGACACUGCCCAGACUCCUACGGGAGGCAGCAGUGGGGAAUAUUGCACAAUGGGCGCAAGCCUGAUGCAGCAACGCCGCGUGAGGGACGACGGCCUUCGGGUUGUAAACCUCUUUUAGCGGGGAAGAAGCGAAAGUGACGGUACCUGCGGAAAAAGCACCGGCUAACUACGUGCCAGCCGCCGCCGUAA